AACGGCCGUACCAUGCUGAAUAUACCGGUUCUCGUUAGAUCACCGAAGUCAAGCAUCAUUGGGCGCGGUCUGUACUUGGGUGGGUGACCACCUGGGAACACUGCGUGCCGUU
rnacentral:rRNA from 1 species